UACGUAGGGUGCAAGCGUUAAUCGGAAUUACUGGGCGUAAAGCGUGCGCAGGCGGUUUUGUAAGUCUGUCGUGAAAUCCCCGGGCUCAACCUGGGAAUUGCGAUGGAGACUGCAAGGCUAGAAUCUGGCAGAGGGGGGUAGAAUUCCACGUGUAGCAGUGAAAUGCGUAGAGAUGUGGAGGAACGACCGAUGGCGCAAGGCAGCCCCCUGGGAUC
rnacentral:rRNA from 1 species